AUUGAACGCUGGCGGCAGGCCUAACACAUGCAAGUCGAGCGGCUGAAGGGAGCUUGCUCCUGGAUUCAGCGGCGGACGGGUGAGUAAUUCCUAGGAAUCUGCCUGGCAGUGGGGGAUAACGUCCGGAAACGGGCGCUAAUACCGCAUACGUCCUGAGGGAGAAAGUGGGGGAUCUUCGGACCUCACGCUAUCAGAUGAGCCUAGGUCGUAUUAGCUAGUUGGUGGGGUAAAGGCCUACCAAGGCGACGAUGCGUAACUGGUCUGAGAGGGUGAUCAGACACUGUGAAAGUGAGACGCGGUCCAGACUCCUGCGAGGGGCAGGAGGGGAAAAUAGUAGAAUGUGCGCGAAAGCCAGACACAGCCAUGGCGCGUGUGAAGAAGGUCUUCGGAUUGUAAAGCACUUUAAGUUGGGAGGAAGGGCAGUAAGUUAAUACCUUGCUGUUUUGACGUUACCAACAGAAUAAGCACCGGCUAACUUCGUG
rnacentral:rRNA from 1 species